GGGGAAAGCGUGCAGCUUGAUGCCUGCAGGUCUCUGGUUGAUCCUGCCGGACCCGACUGCUAUCAGAGUGGGACUAAGCCAUGCGAGUUGACGUAGUAAUACGUAGCGAACGGCUCAGUAACACGUAGUCAACAUGCCCAGGGGACGUGGAUAACCUCGGGAAACUGAGAAUAAACCGCGAUAGGUCACAAUUUCUGGAAUGGAUUUUGGCUUAAAUCUACAUGGCCCCUGGAUCGGACUGCGGCCGAUCAGGCUGUUGGUGAGGUAAUGGCCCACCAAACCUGUAACCGGUACGGGCUCUGAGAGGAGGAGCCCGGAGAUGGGCACUGAGACAAGGGCCCAGGCCCUAUGGGGCGCAGCAGGCGCGAAACCUCUGCAAUGGGCGAAAGCCUGACAGGGUUACUCUGAGUGAUUUCCGCUAAGGGGAUCUUUUGACACCUCUAAAAAUGGUGUAGAAUAAGGGGUGGGCAAGUCUGGUGUCAGCCGCCGCGGUAAUACCAGCACCCCGAGUGGUCGGGACGAUUAUUGGGCCUAAAGCAUCCGUAGCCGGUUCUGCAAGUCUUCCGUUAAAUCCAGCCGCUCAACGGAUGGGCUGCGGAAGAUACUAUAGGACUAGGAGGCGGGAGAGGCAAGCGGUACUCAGUGGGUAGGGGUAAAAUCCUUUGAUCCAUUGAAGACCACCAGUGGCGAAGGCGGCUUGCCAGAACGCGCUCGACGGUGAGGGAUGAAAGCUGGGGGAGCAAACCGGAUUAGAUACCCGGGUAGUCCCAGCUGUAAACGAUGCAGACUCGGUGAUGGGCCAGCCUUGUGCUAGCCCAGUGCCGCAGGGAAGCCGUUAAGUCUGCCGCCUGGGGAGUACGGUCGCAAGACUGAAACUUAAAGGAAUUGGCGGGGGAGCACCACAAGGGGUGAAGCCUGCGGUUUCAUUGGACUNCACGCCGGA
rnacentral:rRNA from 1 species